CUGCAGCCUGAAAGCAUGAGAAGACCUGGUUAGGCCAGCAGACAUGAGGAAAGAACAAGGAAGCUGAACUCUAGUAAACAGCUGUCAAACUUGGUUGGUUGUCUGGGCUUUUCUGCUCUUGUAUGUAACGAUUUGUUGAAUUAAAUAAUGGCUAGAGUCCUUAUUAGGGACUGUUAGCUUAUACGUGACAGACUGCAGAAAUUGGCCGUAAAUACUUUGCAGCUCUUCCAUCGAGGGGCAGAGUCUGCUUCUCCACCUCUUGAAUCUGGGCUUGGCUCUAUGACUUGCUUUUGGCCAAUGGGACAUGAGCAAACAUGGCUUGAAAAAAGUUGUCGGGAACCUUUCCACCACUAUGUAAGCAAGCCUGGCUAUCUGCUGGAGAGACCAAGUGGAGAGAGACUCCAGAAACACAGGGAAUCCAAAGACCAUCAACUGGCCUGGACCCAAGACUGAGCGCGGAUCUCCCCAGCUACCAUUUCACCAUUUUGCUGAUGAUGCUGCACUCUUGGCUUGGAUCAGCUUAUUCAGCAGUGAAGCUCUAGGUGGGAUCUUUUUUUUUUUAAAGUCCUGGAACUCCUUCAGUUAUGCAGGAGGAGGGGGACACACAAUCUCUCUCCUGGGCUACAGAGAAAACUUAACCAGCCUCUGUGCCUCUGUUUUUGCCACCUCCAAACCACUCAGCACAGGCCUGUUAAAGUCACGCUGUUGCUUAAAACCUUCACCUACAGAAUCAAGUCAUCAGCAGGCCUUUCAUGGUCUGGUCCCUGCCCUACCUCUCCAGCUUGGUUUCCUGCCCCCCCUCCGCCAUACUCUGUGUUCCUUCUGCCUUCCACUUACUACUUGAACAUAUCUUGCUCUUUGGUAUCUCAGUGCCAUUGUAAUGACUACUCCUGCUGCCUGGGAUGCCCUUGUUUUACUGGCAAACUCCUAUAAGUUCUUCCAGACCCACUCUGCUUUGACAUCUCCCUGAACGCCAGCCUCACACUUGGCAGUACCUGGAAACUGGUCCCCAUCAGACUCCUCCCUCAGCUGCUCACUCCUCCGGCUCUCUCGGGCCUCCCUCCAGCGCAGCUUCUGGAUGGAUGGAUUUCGGAGGCAUUUCCGGAUGCGGCACUUUUUCCGCUGCACAGUCUCCGGGCAGGGUGCACCUCCAAACUGAGGCUCCAUUUGGAUCAUGCGGGUUCGAAUCAUGUGGCCUUUCCCACAUGACUUGUUACAUUCCGACCACUGGGACCACUCGGUGAGCUCACAGUCAAUGGCUGGCAAGACACAGAUGGGCGUGAGUAUAUCUCAUGUCUGAAACAAGAUACGGUCACUUAUACUCUCCUUUGAACAUCUCAACACAAGCCUAUGGGAAAUGCAAAGCAGGUGCUGUUACUCCAUUUUACAGAAGAAGAAACUGAGGCUCCAGGAGGCAGACUGACUUUAUCCAGCCCACACGGUUGGUAAGCAGUAGAUGCAGAUCAAAACCCACAUGCUAUGCUAUGCCCUCUUUAUGAUUUGAGGAGGCUUUUGGGGGGACCUUGAAGAUUAGUUCAAAGCCUCUUGCCUUGCUCUCUAAGCUUCUAGAAUAUUGUCAAAUUAGCCUCAAGUGGCACAGACUAGCUUCCCACAGCCACGGACCCUGAUUUUCUGAGGGAAGGCACAGUUCACUGGUGCCAUUUUCCAGAGCUGCCCCCGUGGACUAAUACUAAGGACAUUGUGACUUCUGCAGUAAGACCCAGGCAGUGUUUCUUGUUCUCGAUAUCAUCCUGGGUCUUAUAUAUGGCAGUCUGCAAAAAACACAGGAGUCAGAAAUAGGAAAUUCAGUAGAGAAGAGGGGCAGUAGCAAGUGGUGUCAUGGUUUAUCAUGGUAAGAGAUCCAGCAGAGUCUUCUCAUUAAGCCAGCAUCUCACAAAUGUGGACGAAAGAUAACCCAUUCUAGUGAUUCUCAGGAUGCUUCCUAGGGAGGCAAAUGAUUUUCAAACUCUGCUUCCCUUGCAAAGUGAGGGCCCGGCUGGAUGGAUCUAGGAAAAACUCAUUUUGUUCAUGGUCUUAGGCCUUUUCUCCCUGUGGGAGCUCAGGCAGCUUUCCCAUCUGCAGCAUGGGGAUAAUGUUAUUUUUCUCAUUAGGUUGUGAGAAUUAAGUAAUGCUCUCAGCCCAGUUUCUGGCCCACAGUAAGUGUUCCAUAAAUGUUCUUUUUCUUCUCCCUUCAUUCACUGGACCCUGUGGAUAUAGAGUUUUGUUUAAGUCAGUAACAGUGUCUCAGAACAUUCUGGAGCCCCAGCUCUGGUGAGCUGUGUUGAACACGGGGUAGAUCUUAGUAAAAGCCCAAGGCUUUGUUUAGUUUGAUGGGCUGGGUCAUCUCCACACAUGACUUUGGCUAAAACAGCUCAGGAACUGUAAUAUGUAACAUUGGUGGAGGUCUGCACUUCCCAAGUCCAGUGCUCGGCACUUUGUACCAAUUAUGUGGUUUAAUUCUCAGAGCAACCUAGGAAGUUUUUCUCACUCUUUUACAGAUGAGGGACAGGGAUGCUAAGUAGUGUGCUGAAGUUUAUGCAGCCAGUAAGGGACAGAGCUAGGACCUGUCCCCAGGCACGCAGCCUGAGUAAGGGGAGGAAGCACAGAAGGCUGCAAGUGCAUUUCAGAGAAAGCCCGAAAACACAUCUUAGCAAGUGUGUCUGACUUUCCACCACCUGAAAGGGAAGCUCUCAUGGAAGACUAGCCAGAAAAAUGGGCUCUCUCCUUGGAAAUUAGUCCCCAGAUAAUAAACUCACCCUCAUCUCCUCUCAAAUCUCUGUGAGAUUUGAGAGGAGAUGAGGGUGGGCAUGGAGCUUUUGAGCUUGUUGACUUGCUGGCCUGUCUUCUUAUCAAGGCUGCAGAGGUACAGGAGUCACUGGUUUAAAGUCUACCCUUUGGUCAUGGGUAAAUAAACUGGUCACAGGGAGGAGGAAUAGAAUUAAAAAGCUUGGAAAACCCCAUGGGCCAGACAAGCCUCUAACUUGGAGGGGUGGAGAACUAUGAAAUACAUUUUAUCGAGCCUGUACUGUUUUCCAUCUAAGCCUCCUGUUUUGACUUCACAGCCAUUUACAAUUUGGGUGUUUUGUAGAUGGUUAGUGGGAUCCCCUUUUACUACUGAGAAGAUUGAGAGUUUAAAUAACUUUGCUAACACAGAGAUGCAGGGCCCAGCAAACAGUCAUAACUGUACGAGCUAGCACAGGGCUGGUUAGCAGGAGGAGAGGAGGGGAGAGGUGGCUUCCAGGAGCUCCAGGACUUACGGCACUCGGGCAGCAUGCACUUUUCCACUUGCUCCAGCGCCUCAUUACAGUCCCCAAGUUCGGCUAGAGACUUGAGCAUCCGCUGGCGGGUCCGCAUGCCCUUCCCACAGGUCACGCUGCAGUCGCUCCACUCGGACCACGGGGACAGCAAGCAGGGGAUGGUGUCUAGACCAAGAGCCAGGUAUGCCACUGAGAACAGGCUCCCUUUGCUUUCUUUGAUCUGGUGCCCUGUACCCUUUGUCCCCCACUCAAGCCCCUUGAGUAAAGUGAAACUGACCAAUGGGUUUGGAUAACCGAAGUG